rnacentral:rRNA from 1 species
AGUGAACGCUGGCGGUAGGCCUAACACAUGCAAGUCGAACGGCAGCACAGUAAGAGCUUGCUCUUACGGGUGGCGAGUGGCGGACGGGUGAGGAAUACAUCGGAAUCUACUUUUUCGUGGGGGAUAACGUAGGGAAACUUACGCUAAUACCGCAUACGACCUACGGGUGAAAGCAGGGGAUCUUCGGACCUUGCGCGAUUGAAUGAGCCGAUGUCGGACUAGCUAGUUGGCGGGGUAAAGGCCCACCAAGGCGACGAUCCGUAGCUGGUCUGAAAGGAUGAUCAGCCACACUGGAACUGAGACACGGUCCAGACUCCUACGGGAGGCAGCAGUGGGGAAUAUUGGACAAUGGGCGCAAGCCUGAUCCAGCCAUACCGCGUGGGUGAAGAAGGCCUUCGGGUUGUAAAGCCCUUUUGUUGGGAAAGAAAAGCAGCAGGUUAAUACCCCGCUGUUCUGACGGUACCCAAAGAAUAAGCACCGGCUAACUUCGUG